UGAGGAAUAUUGGUCAAUGGGCGGGAGCCUGAACCAGCCAAGUCGCGUGAAGGAAGAAGGAUCUAUGGUUCGUAAACUUCUUUUGCAGGGGAAUAAAGUGCAGGACGUGUCCUGUUUUGUAUGUACCCUGAGAAUAAGGAUUGGCUAACUCCGUGCCAGCAGCCGCGGUAAUACGGAGGAUCCGAGCGUUAUCCGGAUUUAUUGGGUUUAAAGGGUGCGUAGGUGGUUUGAUAAGUCAGCGGUGAAAGUUUGCAGCUUAACUGUAAAAAUGCCGUUGAAACUGUCGGACUUGAGUGUAAAUGAGGUAGGCGGAAUGCGUGGUGUAGCGGUGAAAUGCAUAGAUAUCACGCAGAACUCCGAUUGCGAAGGCAGCUUACUAAGCUACAACUGACGCUGAAGCACGAAAGCGUGGGGAUCAAACA
rnacentral:rRNA from 1 species